rnacentral:rRNA from 1 species
UCAACCGAGAUUCCGCAAGUAGUGGCGAGCGAACGCGGAAAAGCCUGUAUAUGAUAAUGGUUAGGAUAGAAGAAGGGAUUGGAAACUUCCGCCAUAGUGGGUGAUAGCCCCGUAUUUGAAAUCUUAACCAUGGUACUAAGUAUACGAGAAGUAGGGCGGGACACGUGAAAUCCUGUCUGAAUAUGGGGGGACCAUCCUCCAAGGCUAAAUACUCAUCAUCGACCGAUAGUGAACCAGUACCGUGAGGGAAAGGCGAAAAGAACCCCGGAAGGGGAGUGAAAUAGAACCUGAAACCUGAUGCAUACAUACAGUGGGAGCAUCUUUGUGGUGUGACUGCGUACCUUUUGUAUAAUGGGUCAACGACUUACAUUCAGUAGCGAGCUUAACCGAGUAGGGGAGGCGUAGGGAAACCGAGUCUUAAUAGGGCGACUAGUUGCUGGGUGUAGACCCGAAACCGAGUGAUCUAUCCAUGGCCAGGAUGAAGGUGCGGUAAAACGCAUUGGAGGUCCGAACCCACGCAUGUUGCAAAAUGCGGGGAUGAGCUGUGGAUAGGGGUGAAAGGCUAAACAAACUCGGAGAUAGCUGGUUCUCCCCGAAAACUAUUUAGGUAGUGCCUCGAGUAUGAGACUGAUGGGGGUAAAGCACUGUUAUGGCUAGGGGGUUAUUGCAACUUACCAACCCAUGGCAAACUAAGAAUACCAUCAAGUUGCUCCUCGGGAGACAGACAUCGGGUGCUAACGUCCGGUGUCAAGAGGGAAACAACCCAGACCGCCAGCUAAGGUCCCAAAUGAUAGAUUAAGUGGUAAACGAAGUGGGAAGGCACAGACAGCCAGGAUGUUGGCUUAGAAGCAGCCAUCAUUUAAAGAAAGCGUAAUAGCUCACUGGUCGAGUUUUCCUGCGCGGAAGAUGUAACGGGGCUCAAAUCUAUAACCGAAGCUGCGGAUAUACUUUUGUAUAUGGUAGGGGAGCGUUCUGUAAGCCUGUGAAGGUGACUUGUAAAGGUUGCUGGAGGUAUCAGAAGUGCGAAUGUUGACAUGAGUAGCGAUAAAGCGGGUGAAAAGCCCGCUCGCCGAAAGCCCAAGGUUUCCUACGCAACGUUCAUCGGCGUAGGGUGAGUCGGUCCCUAAGGCGAGGCAGAAAUGCGUAGUCGAUGGGAAACAGGUUAAUAUUCCUGUACUUUGAUUCAAUGCGAUGUGGGGACGGAGAAGGUUAGGUUAGCAAACUGUUGGAAUAGUUUGUUUAAGCCAGUAGGUGGAAAGAGUAGGCAAAUCCGCUCUUUCUUAACACCGAGACGUGAUGACGAGUGUCUACGGACAUGAAGUGACCAAUACCACGCUUCCAGGAAAAGCCACUAAGCUUCAGUUGAAUCAGAACCGUACCGCAAACCGACACAGGUGGGCAGGAUGAGAAUUCUAAGGCGCUUGAGAGAACUCGGGAGAAGGAACUCGGCAAAUUGAUACCGUAACUUCGGGAGAAGGUAUGCCCUCUAAUGUUAAGGACUUGCUCCGUAAGCAUCUGAGGGUCGCAGAGAAUCGGUGGCUGCGACUGUUUAUUAAAAACACAGCACUCUGCUAACACGAAAGUGGACGUAUAGGGUGUGACGCCUGCCCGGUGCUGGAAGGUUAAUUGAAGAUGUGCAAGCAUCGGAUCGAAGCCCCAGUAAACGGCGGCCGUAACUAUAACGGUCCUAAGGUAGCGAAAUUCCUUGUCGGGUAAGUUCCGACCCGCACGAAUGGCGUAACGAUGGCCACACUGUCUCCUCCCGAGACUCAGCGAAGUUGAAAUGGUUGUGAAGAUGCAAUCUCCCCGCUGCUAGACGGAAAGACCCCGUGAACCUUUACUGCUGUCUCUUAUACACAUCU